rnacentral:rRNA from 1 species
UACGAAGGGGGCUAGCGUUGCUCGGAAUCACUGGGCGUAAAGGGUGCGUAGGCGGGUCUUUAAGUCAGGGGUGAAAUCCUGGAGCUCAACUCCAGAACUGCCUUUGAUACUGAGGAUCUUGAGUACGGGAGAGGUGAGUGGAACUGCGAGUGUAGAGGUGAAAUUCGUAGAUAUUCGCAAGAACACCAGUGGCGAAGGCGGCUCACUGGCCCGUAACUGACGCUGAGGCACGAAAGCAAGGGGAUCAAACAGG